rnacentral:rRNA from 1 species
UACAGAGGUGGCAAGCGUUGUUCGGAAUUACUGGGCGUAAAGGGCGCGUAGGCGGCCAUCUAAGUCAGACGUGAAAUCCCCCGGCUUAACCUGGGAACUGCGUCUGUUACUGGACGGCUUGAGUAUGGGAGAGGGAUGUAGAAUUCCAGGUGUAGCGGUGAAAUGCGUAGAUAUCUGGAGGAAUACCGGUGGCGAAGGCGGCAUCCUGGACCAUUACUGACGCUGAGGCGCGAAAGCUAGGGGAGCAAACGGG